GACGUGGGCAAAGGGCGCUGCUCGCUGCGUGCGAAUCGGCGGCCGCUUGUGGCCUCUAGGGGGGCGGCUCAGGCACCGAACCCGGAAGCGAAGGCGCCGGUGCGGCGUCAGGCGGGGUCGGUUCGGGAGAGCGUCUGAGGCGGGAACGCGAGAGAGGCUUGGAGAAAAGAAGAUAUGUUCAACUUUUUCCGAAAAAGCCAGGACUCUAAGAAGGUGCCAUUGCCAGAAAUAGAAGCAGAUGGAUUUGUUCUUGUGGAAGAAUGUAAUGUAACAUGUUGGAACCCAAGAGAAUAAGUUGUUUUAGGACUUUCAGGCAAACGUGUGUACUUUCCUUUCACUGUCCCUUUGAAAAGUCUCCUUGUCCGUCUAGUGUAAUAAACAUUUUAACAUGUUGUUCGAAACAUUUGUUAAGCAUUGUAGAUGCUACAAACAUUUUCCAGAAUUGAGUUAUUACAGAAUGCAUCUUUAGAGUUUUCAUGUUGGAGAAUUUCUGUAUUGAAACAUCCAUAAACAUUGCUUAGUUGACAUGCCCACACUUGAGCAUGGGAGUAUUUGACAUUGCUCUUCUAAGUCCUAUAAAUAAAGAGUGAUGAAAGUAAAACAUGUUGGGAAAAACUGUUUUGAUAACUAUUCAAAAAAUAAAUGAUAAAGAAUUCCUUGGUCAUAAUGACAAGUAUUCUGCAACAUUGAUUGUUAUACACUUUAUGUAUUUUUAUUUAUUAGUUCUGAUUGGUUUUUUUUUUCACUUCUGCUUAUAGUGUUCAAAUGGUCUCUCAGCAUUUAUAUUCUGCUAGCCUUACUCGCAUUCAAUAGUAUCUUACUCCCCAAGUAAUAUCGUCUAGCUCGUAUGUAGCACUUAUCAGUCCAUCUCAAAGCAUUAUAGAAAGGAUGUAAGAAGUAGUCCUGUUUAUAGAGCAAGUAAUUACAGUGAAAAUGAGAUUAGCAAAUUUAGACUAAUGAAAGUGUAAUGUUUUUAUAUUUUUUGUUUUGUUUUAUAUUUUUGGGGUGGGGCACGGGUGGAGAAGGGAUAAAUACGGUCUGUAAUGGGUUUUUUUUUUUUUUUUCCCCCUUAAAUGUAUGGUCCACUGAAUCUCAGUGGCACUAUGUAAACUUGUUUUGAUUAUAGAACAAGUGUAUUUUGGCCUAAAAUACCAUGAGCCCACUUGUCCUGUAUAAAAUGAAUCUUUGAUUUAAUUAUUGAUACUCUAAAAACAUUGUGUGUGUGUGUGUGUGUGUGUGUGUGUGUGUGUGUGUGUGUGUAUACUUGAAGAAAAUGACCAUGAAGGUGUAAGUAACGUUCUGUUAUAGCAUUAGUAAAUCACUUAUUAGCAUUCAGCUCAGCAAUUGUAUAGCAUUAUGUCAGAGUAUCAUUUAUAACAAUUAGGAUAAGUGUACAUUUAAUGGUGGCAUGUAGAGUGCAGACACUAAGCCCAGCUAGCAUGCAUAUAAAUAACAAUAUAGAUGGUGAGGCACUGCUUGGGCAGGUUGAGUAGAGUGCCCCCCACACCUAUACUGCUAUUUUUAGUCUCUGGCUGCCUGCUCACUACUGGAGCCUUUCCCCACCACGGGAAGGACUAUGGUGAAAGACUAUGACAGCUGGGAAAGUCUCUAGCUGAGAGGAGGCAGUGGAGAUGGGCUCUGGCAUCUCCUCCCUGCCAGAGCCUUUCUUCAUUGCCUCCUGCCAGAGCCUUGAU